UACGUAGGGGGCGAGCGUUAUCCGGAUUUACUGGGCGUAAAGCGAGUUAAGGCGGUUGGCAAAGUUGGUUGUGAAAUCUCAGGGCUCAACCCUGAAAUUGCGACCAAUACUGGUCGACUAGAGUGCAGGAGAGGAAGGUGGAAUUCCCGGUGUAGUAGUGAAAUGCGUAGAUAUCGGGAGGAACACCAGUGGCGAAGGCGGCUCACUGGACUGGUAUUGACGCUGAGGUGCGAAAGCGUGGGAGCAAACAGGG
rnacentral:rRNA from 1 species